AUUGAACGCUGGCGGCAGGCCUAACACAUGCAAGUCGAACGAGUGGCGGACGGGUGAGUAAUGUCUGGGAAACUGCCCGAUGGAGGGGGAUAACUACUGGAAACGGUAGCUAAUACCGCAUACCAUCGGAUGUGCCCAGAUGGGAUUAGCUAGUAGGUGGGGUAACGGCUCACCUAGGCGACGAUCCCUAGCUGGGCUGAGAGGAUGACCAGCCAACAUGGAACUGAGACACGGUCCAGACUCCUACGGGAGGCAGCAGUGGGGAAUAUUGCACAAGGGGUGCAAGCCGGAUGCAGCCAUGCCGCGUGGAUGAAGAAGGCCUUCGGGUUGUAAAGUACUUUCAGCGAGGAGGCGUUACUCACAGAAGAAGCACCGGCUAACUCCGUGCCAGCAGCCGCGGUAAUAC
rnacentral:rRNA from 1 species